rnacentral:lncRNA from 1 species
UGUAACUCAUAUGUUUUCAAGAGGAUCUUCUCAAUAUAACAAUGUGUAGCUUAUGGCCAGGCACAGUGGCACACGCCUGUAAUCCCAGCACUUUGAGAUGCCAAGGCUGGCAGAUCUCUUGAGCUCAGGAGUUUGAGACCAGCCUGCAAAACACAGUGAAACCCUGCCUCUAUAAAAAAUACAAAAAUUAGGUGGGCAUGGUAGUCUGUGAAUGUAGUUCCAGCUACUUGGGAGGUUGAGGUGGAAGGAUCACUUGACCCCAGGAGGUCAAGGCUGCAGUGAGUCAUGAGUGUGCCACUGCACUCCAGCCUGUGCGACAGAGUGAGACUCCGUCUCAAGAAAAGAAAAGAAAAAGGAAACUGCAACGAUGAACAGAUCAGAAUAGGCGACAUGCACUGAACAAGGUAAAAAAGACAGAAAAUUAUCUGGAGAGGUGGCCGGAGGACACAUCAAGAAGCGCCUUGUACAUUGAAUCAGGCAACAUCUCAUCCUAUAAAAUAAAAUGGGUUUUCCGAUGAGCUGAGAAGACGAGCCUGGCUUUAUAGGCAGAAAAGGGCUGAAGAAAACAGAAACAGAGAACAAAAAGCAGAUGCUUUGUUUCAAGGUUAGUACCCUGAUAGUGUUAAAGCAGAAGGGACUUCCUGGUCAUACCAUCUUAAGGAUCCGGUUUUGUUCAGGUGUUCACACGAAUCAUGAGAUUCACAGGAAUGGGAAGCCGAACUCAUUCCCAGCUCCAGAAGUGGAUGCUGAUAUUUUAAACCAAUCACCAGAUGCCAUUCCUUUGAUGAUGAUGAUUAAUUUGUCCAGGGGCAGGUAUGAGACCCAACUUGAACUGGUCAGACAGAAGGGAAGGACAUAAUUCCAAAUGGACACCUGUUCUCUCUCCUACCAGUGAGGAAAAGGAAACGAGAUGUCCAGCUGUUGGCCCCAGUCAUAAGAGGAAGCUGAUGCUGCGGAUGAAGAGUGGAGCAAUGGAAAUAAUCUGGGGUCCAGUAACAUUGCUAAACUACUGAUUCAACUAGCCUUUCUUUUUUUCUUUUCUUUUUCUUUCUUUUCUUUUUUCUUUCUUUUUUUUUUUUUUUAAGAGACAGGGUCUUGCUCUGUCACCUAGGCUGGAGUGCAGUGGUGAGAUUAUAUCUCACUGCAGCCUCCCACUUCUGGGCUCAAAUGAUCUUUCCUCCUCAGCUUCCCAAGUAGCUAGGACUAUAGGUUCAUGCCACCACACUGGGCUAAUUUUUAAAUUUUUUUUGUAGAGACAGGGUCUUGCUAUGUUGCCAAGGCUGGUCUAGAACUCUUGGCCUCAAGUGAUGCACCUUCCUCUUCCUCCCAAAGCACUGGGAUUACAAAGGCAUGAGGCACCAUGCCUGACUAACCAUGAAGACUGCUUUAUCUCUGAAUAAAUCCCCUUUUUUUAAAACCCAGCUUUUGUGAGGGUUUCUGUUACUUGCAGCAAAAGGGUCCUGAUGGACACAGUUGUUUUUGCAAUGUAUGAGAAAUCCUCAAAACUGGCUUUUCCCAUGCUUGCCUUCCUCUCCGUUACACGCACUGCCUAAAGCAAAGUGACUGCUUCCUCGGGAGUCAGGUUUUAAGGUCCCUGGGGUAGUUCUGCUUCCACAGUUUAGGUUUACCAAGAGGCAGAUAUGUUUGUCCACGAGCUGGUUUUGCCAGUUGCACUUGUUUUUGUAAUUAUGUAAAGCAAUGAAAUAUGAGUGAGGGAAAGAAUUGCUGUUGUCCAAAAUCCAAACUGAAUGCUUUCCAUAAACAGUAAAGACAAGUUGCUUAGAAAACAAAGCAAAUACAAAACAAUCUUAGAGUUUCAUGCAGGUGAGGCAAGUGUAAAAUAAUUGGAAAAUUUUGUUAAAUCUAGAAUAAUUCUGAACUCAGAUUGUUCCCCAACUGUCCUUCAGUUCUGGCUCUACUUUAAAGCUAUUGGGACUGAAAACCACUGACUUUUUAAAUGACUACACAUGACUCCUAUUAGAUGUCACAUGUCUUAAAAGAGGCCUUAUCCCUUCAAAAUACUGUCAAAUGAAAGAAUAUUUAUAUGUUUUACUUUAGUAAAAUAUUAAAAAUGUUUUCCAUUUUUAAUGUUUCUUUGCUCUAACUGACUAACUGCUUUAACUGAUUACCCAACUAGCUACCAGUCUGGUGGCUUCUGAGUAAAUGUACCCCUGUUCCUCUUUAGCCCCUUCUCCUACCUGGUCAACCUACUGCCCUCAGUCUCUUUCCUUUCUCCAUCUUGUCAGCAUAGAACAGUACAGCAUCAAUAACAACUGAUUUUUGCAAAAUUAUAAUUACAAUAGCAAGAGUAUUUUUCUUUUUUUUUUUGUUUUGAGAUGGAGUAUCGCUCUGUCGCCCAGGCUGUUGUGCGGUGGCAUGAUCUCGGCUCACUGCAAGCUCCAUCUCCUGGGUUCACUCCAUUCUCCUGCCUCAGCCUCCCGAGUAGCUGGGACUACAGGCGACCGCCACCACGCCCGGCUAAUUUUUUUGUAUUUUUAGUGGAGACAGGGUUUCACCGUGUUAGCCAGGAUGGGCUCGAUCUCCUGACCUUGUGAUCCGCCUGCCUCGGCCUCCCAAAGUGCUGGGAUUACAGGCAUGAGCCACUGUGCCUGGCCGAGUAUUUUUCAUUUUAAUAAAAGUUCUGGGAGGAUCUACACUAAAGUGUUAACUGCUAUUUCUGCAUGAAGAGACUGUGGAUUUUUUUCUUAUUUUCAUGUAUGAGGAUAAUAAUGAUGUGUACUAGUAUUGACUUGGUUAUAACAAACUAAAAAUAAUCUUUUAACCCAAGAACAAAGAAUAUUUUGUCUUUUUAUGAGAAUUUACUUUUUACAGAGAACUUUUAGAUCCAUUGAAUCAAUGGUACUUCACAACUACACUGCAAAGAAAACAUUUAUUCCUGCUUCCCGAUGAGGAAACCAAAAUGGGAGAAGGGGAAACCAUGUGGCCUCAGAUGACAAAGCAAAAUGAAGAGCAUUUGGCAAUGUAAAAAAAUAGAGUUUUAAGUGAUGAAAGCGCAAGUCCAGAAGGAGACUGGGAGAGGAGGAAGGCCUUCACAGCACUGUUGGGUACUUCCAUACAAGGCCAGUGUCACGUAGGAUACGGUGGCUUCCUUUCUUGAUCAACCACCCCCCAAGACUUCAAAUCAGCUCUGUUAGUCUGUACUGGAAAAUGUGGGCCCACUGUUUAACCUCUUUGGGCUUCAUCAUUGUGUUCUAUUAAAUAGGAGUGAUGAUAGUCACAAGAUUGUUGUCAGAAUUUGAAAUGUUGAUGUAUAUAAAGCCCUUAACACAGCAGCUGAUGGGUUCUAGCAUUGUCAUCAUAAUAAAAACUAGUAAUACUGUUAGUAGUAAUCACACCACUGCUGCUUUAACGGGAAGUAGCAGACUUGCUGAGGGCUACCAGGCUGAUGGGCACUAAUGCUGGAAGAUCAUGAAUCAGAACAAUACACUCUAAGGAUUCAUCAAAACUAUUAUAAUUUUUCUAAGCUUAUCUCAGUUCUCUUCAUUCUUAUGCUGAGAAUUUGACUUCUCAGAGUUUUUUGGGCAACCUCUUUAUCACCUUUAUCAUCUAUUUUAUAAGAAUUAUCACCUCCACUACCACAAACCUCAUUGGUAGUGUUAGACAGAUCACUGAGGCAGAAAGCGAACACAGAAAUUCUGGACUUAAAUUCAACACUUGACCAAAUUGUACCUAAUAGACAUCUAUAGAAUACUCCACCCACUGACAACAGAGUAUAGUCUUCUCAUCUGCAUAUGAACACACUCCAAGAACAACUACAUGCUCAACUAUAAACCAAGUCUUAAUAAAUUCAAAAAAUUUCAAAAUAAUACCAAUCAUAUUCUUGGACCACACUGGAAUAAAAACAGAAAUCAAUACCAAGAUGAUCUUUCAAAAACCACACAAUUACAUGGAAAUUAAACAAUUUGCACUGGAUUGGCUUCUAAACAAUGAAUUUAAGGCAGGAAUAAAAAAAUUAUUUGAAAUAAAUGAAAACAGAGACACAACAUACCAAAAUCUCUGGGAUGCAACAAAAGUAGUGUCAACAAGACAGUUAAUAGCCCUAAAUGCCUAACUCAAAAGGUACAGAGGUCUCAAAUUAACAAUCUAGCAUCACACUUAGAGGAGCUAGAAAGACAAGAAGAAACAACUCUAAAGCUAGCACAAGAAAAGAAAUAACUAGGACUGGGCAUGUUGGCUCAUGCCUAUAAUCCCAGCAGUUUGGGAGGCCAAAGUGGAAAAAUGAUUAAGUCCAGGAGUUUGAGACCAGCCUGGGCAAGGUGGUAAGACCACAGGGCAACACUGCAAAACCCCAUCUCUACCAAAGUAAAAACAAAAAUAAAUAUUAGCCAGGCAUGAUGGUGUGUGCCUGUAGUCCCAGCUACUUGCAAGGCUGAGGUGGGAGGAUUGCUUGAGCCCAGGAGUUCAAGGCUGCAGUGAGGUAUGAUCAUGCUACUCCCCACCAGCCUGGAUAACAGAGCAAGACCCUGUUGAAAGAAAAAAGAAAGAGGAAAGAAAGAAAGAAGGAAAGAAAGAAAGAAAGAAAGAAAGAAAGAAGAAAGAAAAAGAAAGAGAAAGAAAAAGAAAGAAAAGAAAGAAAAAAGAAAAAGAGAAAGGAGGGAAG